UACGAAGGUGGCGAGCGUUGUUCGGAUUUACUGGGCGUAAAGAGCACGUAGGCGGUUGGGUAAGCCUCUUGGGAAAGCUCCCGGCUUAACCGGGAAAGGUCGAGGGGAACUACUCAGCUAGAGGACGGGAGAGGAGCGCGGAAUUCCCGGUGUAGCGGUGAAAUGCGUAGAUAUCGGGAAGAAGGCCGGUGGCGAAGGAGGCGCUCUGGAACGUACCUGACGAUGAGGUGCGAAAGCGUGGGGAGCAAACAGG
rnacentral:rRNA from 1 species